UACGGAGGGUGCGAGCGUUGUUCGGAAUCACUGGGCGUAAAGCGCGUUUAGGCGGCCUCCUCAGUCUGGUGUGAAAGCCCGGGGCUCACCCCCGGAAGUGCAUUGGAUACUGGGAGGCUGGAGUACCGGAGAGGAGGGUGGAAUUCCUGGUGUAGCGGUGAAAUGCGUAGAUAUCAGGAGGAACACCGGUGGCGAAGGUGGCCCUCUGGACGGAUACUGACGCUGAGACGCGAAAGCGUGGGGAGCAAACAGG
rnacentral:rRNA from 1 species